CGGCGAACUUUCGCUUUUGCGAAUCAAUGGACUCAGUGAAGCCAGGCAAAUUGGAGGCAUCAGAUGCUUGAGAAACCCUCCCAUCUCUGCGUCCCGUAGGCACCAACCAGCUCGCUCCGUUUGUCUGCCAUAUAUACGCAUGAAUCAUAUAGUUACUGGUUACUUAUAUACACACACACAAAGUGCUAGUAAAUUAAAGUGGUGCUAGCAUAUUCAAAAAAUUGGUAUAGUAUAAUGAAGUGUAUCAUAUAUACCAAAACCACGGAAUCACGGGCGGCUAGUGCAAGAAUAUCAGCACAUGAGACUACACCAGGGCAUACUGCUUCUAUUUGAGUCUUGGCGUCAUUAAUAACUUCAUAGCCUCUCAACAAACUGUUUGGAGGAGCCGUUUUCUCAGUGUUAGGGCCAUCGAUAAGGAUUGAGCCAUCACAACCCUGGACAAAGCAAUCAUGGAAAUGCAUCCUCAGCAAGCCGGGAGCAAUGGCAGGGUUAGAACGAAAAUGAGAUUGGACUGUUGAAGUAACAAU
rnacentral:lncRNA from 1 species